AUGAAAUUUUCAUAUACGGCUCUUAGAGGGGGACUCGGGUUAGUUACCUAUCUCAAUAAAGUAUAUGAUUGGUUUGAGGAACGUCUUGAGAUUCAGGCAAUUGUAGAUGAUAUAACUAGUAAAUAUGUUCCUCCCCAUGUCAACAUAUUUUAUUGUUUAGGGGGAAUUACACUUACUUGUUUUCUAGUACACUCCUUUUUUUUAUUUUAUUGA
rnacentral:rRNA from 1 species